rnacentral:rRNA from 1 species
UUUCCGGGUUGGAUCCUGCCGAAGGCUACUGCUAUUGGAGCACGAGAAAGCCAUGCGAGUCAAGGGCACUUCGGUCCCGGCGGAUGCUCAGAACACGUGGACAAUCUGCCCUCGGGUGGGGACAAACUCGAGAAAAUGAGGCUAAGACCCCAUAGGCACAGGAGCUGGAAUGCAUCUGUGCCCAAGCUACGGCGCCCGAGGAUGAGUCUGCGGCCUAUCAGGGAAUACUCAGGGUCAACACCUGACUAGCCACCGACGGGCACGGGCCUUGAGAGAGGUCACCCGGAGAUGGACUCUGAGAACCAAUCAAGGCCCUAACGGGCGCAGCAGGCACGAAAACUUCGAAAUGCAGGAAACUGUGACGAGGGAACUCCAAGUGUCCAUGCAUUGCAUGGACUGUUUGCCAGCCUAAAAAGCUGGUAGAGUAAGGGGUGGGAAAGACCGGUGCCAGCCGCCGCGGUAACACCGGCACCUCAAGUGGUAGCCACUAUUAUUGGGCCUAAAGCGUUCGUAGCCGGCUUGGUUAAUUCCUGGGUAAAUCGUACCGCUCAACGGUGCGGAUUCCGGGGACAAUCCCAGGCUUGAGACCGGGGGAGAUCAGAGGUACUGCGGGGGAGCGGUGAAAUGUGGUAAUCCCGCAGGGACCACCAAUGGCGAAGGCAUCUGAUCAAAACGGCUCCAACGGUGAGGGACGAAACCCUGGGGCGCAAACGGGAUUAGAUACCCCGGUAGUCCAGGGAGUAAACGCUGCUGAAUCGGUGUUGGGGGCAGGCGAGGGCGUCCAGGCCGGCACGAAAGUAUUGAGUCAGCCGCCUGGGGACUACGCUAGCAAGACUGAACUUAACGAGUAGCCGAGAGCACGGCAACAAGCCCAGCGUGCGGUUUAAUUUGGAUCAAAACCCCCGGAAA